rnacentral:tRNA from 1 species
GGGCUGGGGCUCAGUGGUAGAGCACUUGCCUGGCAUGUGUGAGGCACUGGGUUCAAUUCUCAGCACCACA